rnacentral:rRNA from 1 species
GAUGAACGCUAGCUACAGGCUUAACACAUGCAAGUCGAGGGGAAACGAUACUGGAAGCUUGCUUCCGAUAGGCGUCGACCGGCGCACGGGUGAGUAACGCGUAUCCAACCUGCCCACCACUUGGGAAUAACCUUGCGAAAGUAAGACUAAUGCCCAAUGAUAUCUCUAGAAGACAUCUGAAGGAGAUUAAAGAUUUAUCGGUGAUGGAUGGGGAUGCGUCUGAUUAGCUUGUUGGCGGGGUAACGGCCCACCAAGGCGACGAUCAGUAGGGGGACGGAGAGGAGGGUCCCCCACAGUGGCACUGAGACACGGUCCAAGCUCGUGCGGGAGGGAGCAGUGGGGAAUAUUGGUCAAGGGGCGAGAGCCUGAACCGCCCAAGUAGCGUGCAGGAUGACGGCCCUAUGUGUUGUAAACUGUUUUGAAAAGGGAAUAAAGUUAGUCUCGUGGGACUUUUUGCAUGAACCUUAUAAAAAAGGACCGGCUAAUUCCGGGCCAGCCGCCGCGGUAA